rnacentral:pre_miRNA from 1 species
GUUGAGGGGAAUAUAGUCUGGUUCAAGAUUAUUCAUAAAUAGUCUCUUUCUAAAAUAUAACUUUUAUGAAUAAUUUCGGACCAGACUUCAUUCCCCUCAGC